GUGUCAAUAUUUUAAUUGGCCAACAAUUUGUUCUUUCUUGUAGUAACCUCUUGGUAAGUAUGAGAGAGAGAGGAUUAGUGGGUGAAUAAGGCCACUUGGCCGGAUUAGUGUAGGAGAAAAAGGAGAGUGGGUAUAGAUAAUUGAUGUAUAUCCAUAUCUAAUAAAAAUCUAUCUUUUUUUUUCUCUUUCAUCUCUUUUAUUAUUCUAUCAAGAACAAGAGAAAGAGAGAGAGAGAGAAGUAAGGCUUCGGGAGCCAUGGAAGGAAGAAGAGAGAAGAGGGGAGAGAAAGUUCAUCCAUGAAAGAAGAAGAAGAAGAAGAAGAAGAAGAAGAAGAAAGAUUUUGAGAAAAAGGUAAAUUCCUAAACUAAUAUAUAUAUUUUAGUUGAAUUUUUGUAAAUCAAAGCUUGGAUUUAUUUUAUAAACUCAAAAACUAUGGGUAUCCAUGUUGAUGAGUGUUUUAUGUUUAGAUCUACACAUAUUGGGUGUUGAUUUGGUUGAAAUCAAAAGGAAUAGAAAAAAUAGAAUUUUUCCGGAAAGCUUAAACUUGAAAGUGUGAUCUAGAUUUUGAUUUUUGAAAUCUAUGAUGGAUAUUUGUGAUUUAUUUUCUCGGGAUGCUAGAUCUAUGUAUUAAGGAUAAAACCUCUUUGGAAUCACUCAAUUAGGUUGAAAAAUGAGCAAGUUAUAGAAUUUAUCCCAAACUACUCAAAGCUAAGAAAACUGUUAGAACAACAGUUUUUACCAGCCACUUCCGGAUAAAUUUCCGGGAGCUUAACAUGUCCAAAUAUGGAUUGUGAUAGAUGAAAAUUGUAGAUCGAAAAGAUAUGAAUCCAACAAAAUUGACGGAUCAUUAAUUGAGGUUAUAGAUCUCAUUUUAUUUAAAUUUUAGCAAAGGACUCCAAAACUGCAAAACGCCAAUGAGCUACUGCCCAAAACUUUCCAAGGGCUGUUUCGACCAUUUAAUUUCAGAGAAAAAUUCUGGCCUUUUGGGACAUGAAAAUAUAUGGUAUAAAGUAUCUACUGUCCAAAAAUGAGCUCAUUUCGACUUAAAAUGACCAAGUUAUGACCAUUUCAAUAUUUAUGAUUUUCCAACAAAUAUCGCUAUAACCGGAGUUCUAUAACUCCGAUGGCCACGAAAUUUAAACUGGAGUGUCACGUUAACACGUAUAAGAUUGUGUCAAAAGAUUGGAAUUUCUGGAGUUAAGCGUGAUAGGGCUAAUUUCUUAAGGAAUUGACUAAAAAUGAUUUUUGAAAAAUACCAAAGGAAGUUAAAAAAUUAUGGAAAAAUACUUUUUGUGUAUGAAAUAUAUGUAUGUGUUUGGACAAAGGAUAGAAUAAUAAUAAACUAAUUUGGUAUUUUCGUGAAAAAUGAUAUGGAAUCCAGCUUGCUGGAUUGAAAAGAAGCUUACUGAAAUUGAAAGAUUUAGAAUUCAGCUUGCUGGAUUGAUGGAUUGGUGAAUCCAGGCUUGCUGGAUUGCAAUCUAGUUACUAUAUUUGGAAUCCAGUUAGCUGGAUUGCAGUUUAGGUUGCUGGAUUUGGAAUCUAGUCUGCUGGAUUGGCAGUUUGGUUGCUAGAUUUAGAAUCUAGGUUGCUGGAUAAGUAUUUGACUUAUUAGAUAUUAAAGAAUAACUUAUGAAAUGAAAAUGAGUGUUAAAUCAUAAUGGAUAUGAUAUAGUGAUUACAGAAUUAUCAAAGGAUGAUAAUAAUACUGAUGUGUUAAAAUGUUAUCUAAUAUUUGAUUAAAUGUUAGAUAAUCUAUGGAUAAAGUAAUAGUAUUAUGAGCUAACAGGUAUGUUAUGCUAAUUGAAAGAUCAAUCUUAUAAUUGAUAGGUUUUUCAUGCGAGAUUAAAUUAUAUUGCUUAGCGGUAAUUAGAACUAACUCAAACUUGAGUUGUAUGUUCAAAGCAUGUUAGUGAAUAAUUGUUGUUAAUUAUUCACGUCUAUACUGAUUUUUGAUUCGCACAUAGUGCAUGUUGCAUAUGUUCAUCAGGUAUGAAAGGUUGAUCACCUUCAUUACCAUAAGGUUCAGUUAAAUUAUUUAUGGUCAUUGUUGCCCUUCAAACAUUAUUGAUUCAGUCAUGCAUUUAUUGAAACUUGAUUCAUGUUAUUUCAUAAUUAUUAUAUUAUUGAAAACUUGAAAGCUUAUUCAUUCUUUUCAAUCAUGAUAUAUCUUCAUUGUAUUUAAAACUUGUUGGACAAAUUUGUUGCUCACCCUUGCUAUAUCAUGAUAAAAUUUUCAGAUUUAGAUGAAAACUCGAAUAAAGACAAAAGCAAAGUCAAAGUGCAAGAUUAAAUUAUGUUGCAGUUAGAUCUAUUAAAUUUUCUGACAAAAAUAGCAUUGUAAAUCUUCUAAGAUAUUGAAGGUAUGUAUUAAGUUAAGGUUGUAGACCUUGAGAAUGAUGUGUAAAGGUUUAUUGUAUAAACAAUUUAUGUUUAUAUCUUCCGCAAUAGUUGUAGAAAUGAUGUACUAGAUCUGAGGUAAAAAGUACCCGAAUUUGGGGAUGCUACAGAAACGCCCAAGUAGCGUAGCUGAAAAAUUUUGUACACUACUCAUGUCAGUAUAGUAAUAAUGAUACAGCAAGGUACCAAUAAUCAGUCAUAUAUAAUGAUGUGCAAUUCUAACCUUAAAUGGUAACAUUCUCCCUUUUUCUUUCUUUUCUUCCAGUCAUUAGAAAAAAAAAAUUAAGUGUUACUUGGUUAUUGUUUCCCUAUUUUUCAAGAGUAUUGAGUUGGUAGAACAGCAUUUAGAAUCCAGUAAACAAUUAG
rnacentral:lncRNA from 1 species